AUUGAACGCUGGCGGCAGGCCUAACACAUGCAAGUCGAACGAGUGGCGGACGGGUGAGUACUGUCUGUGAAACAGCCUGCUGGAGGGGGAUAACUACUGGAAGCGGUAGCUAAUACCACAUCUCAUCAGAUGUGCCCAGAUGGGAUGAGCUAGUGGGUGAGGUAACGGCUCAGCUAGGCGACGAUCCCUAGCUGGUCUGAGAGGAUGACCGGCCACACUGGAACUGAGACACGGUCCAGACUCCUACGGGAGGCAGCAGUAGGGAAUAUUGGGCAAUGGACGAAAGGCUGAUCCAGCAACGCCGCGUGAAUGAAGAAGGUCUUCGGAUUGUAAAACACUGUUGGCGGGGAAGCGGUACCUGAAGAAAAAGCCCCGGCUAACUACGUGCCAGCAGCCGCGGUAAUUC
rnacentral:rRNA from 1 species